rnacentral:rRNA from 1 species
CCUACGGGAGGCAGCAGUAGGGAAUCUUCCACAAUGGACGAAAGUCUGAUGGAGCAACGCCGCGUGAGUGAAGAAGGGUUUCGGCUCGUAAAGCUCUGUUGGUAGUGAAGAAAGAUAGAGGUAGUAACUGGCCUUUAUUUGACGGUAAUUACUUAGAAAGUCACGGCUAACUACGUGCAAGCAGCCGCGGUAAUACGUAGGUGGCAAGCGUUGUCCGGAUUGAUUGGGCGUAAAGCGAGUGCAGGCGGUUCAAUAAGUCUGAUGUGAAAGCCUUCGGCUCAACCGGAGAAUUGCAUCAGAAACUGUUGAACUUGAGUGCAGAAGAGGAGAGUGGAACUCCAUGUGUAGCGGUGGAAUGCGUAGAUAUAUGGAAGAACACCAGUGGCGAAGGCGGCUCUCUGGUCUGCAACUGACGCUGAGGCUCGAAAGCAUGGGUAGCGAACAGGAUUAGAUACCCGGGUAGUC